rnacentral:rRNA from 1 species
AUUGAACGCUAGCGGGAUGCUUUACACAUGCAAGUCGAACGAGUGGCGGACGGGUGAGUAAUAUAUCGGAACGUGCCCAGUAGCGGGGGCUAACUACUCGAAAGAGUGGCUAAUACCGCAUACUCUUGGAGCGGCCGAUAUCGGAUUAGCUAGUGGGUGGGGUAAAGGCUCACCAAGGCAACGAUCCGUAGCUGGUUUGAAAGGACGACCAGCCACACUGGGACUGAGGCACGGCCCAGAGUCCUACGGAGGGCAGCAGUGGGGAAUAUUGGACAAUGGGGGAAAACCUGAUCCAGCCAUCCCGCGUGUAUGAGAAGGCCUUCGGGUUGUAAAGUACUUUUGGCAGAGAAGCGGUGUCUGCAGAAUAAGCACCGGCUAACUACGUGCCAGCCGCCGCGGUAAUUC